AGCGAACGCUGGCGGCAGGCCUAACACAUGCAAGUCGAACGGAUCCUUCGGGAUUAGUGGCGGACGGGUGAGUAACACGUGGGAACGUGCCCUUUGGUUCGGAACAACUCAGGGAAACUUGAGCUAAUACCGGAUGUGCCCUUCGGGGGAAAGAUUUAUCGCCAUUGGAGCGCACCGCGUCUGAUUAUCUAGUUGGUGAGGUAAAGGCUCACCAAGGCGACGAUCAGUAGCUGGUCUGAGAGGAUGAUCAGCCACAUUGGGACUGAGACACGGCCCAAACCCCUACGGGAGGCAGCAGUGGGGAAUCUUGCGCAAUGGGCGAAAGCCUGACGCAGCCAUGCCGCGUGAAUGAUGAAGGUCUUAGGAUUGUAAAAUUCUUUCACCGGGGACGAUAAUGACGGUACCCGGAGAAGAAGCCCCGGCUAACUUCGUGCCAGCCGCCGCCGUAAAAC
rnacentral:rRNA from 1 species